AUUCUGUGAUUCUCCCCUCCCCUUAGGUACACCUGUGCACACACACACACGCAUGUACACACUUGUACAUUUUCUGGGACUACAGAGGAUGAUUUUUAUCUACUCUUUUUGAGAACUGUGCCUCAGAUUUCUUCUAUGCUGACCCAGAACUUGUAAGACCACGCUGUGUGCACAGAGAUGCUGUCUACAGGCCCCUGUCCAUAAAGCAUUGCCUGUCUGAUGGAAACCUCCAGAAUGAAUGGGCUUCUGUUCCUUGCUGCAAGCUGUUGCUAUCAUGUAGAGGAGCUAUUGCUCUACCAGAAAUCACGCCUAAGCCUAUUAUUCCAAGGAGACAAUUUUGUUAUAAAGAAGUGAUUUGCUAUUUUAAAGCCUCGAAAAACAAACACAUAAAAAAGUGUUCAUUUGGAGACAUGGCAAUAAUUCUGGGUAGGAAGCUAUGAUGCUAGUUUACUUCAUUUUGCUUUAGAGAAGGGUCCAGAAUUUGGUGUGAACAACAAAUCUAUACAAAGGCAUUUGUCAAGCUCAGCUAGUAUCAGUGUGAUGUCCUUGAGAGUAAACUGCUUCACCUCUAAACCUGCUCUGAUUUGGAAGGAGAAGCUGCUGGUUUAAAUCUAAAACAUUGAGAAAGACAAUGUGCAAACAAAUAGCAUUAGCUUUUAAUGAAAAUUCAGGAAUAUGCUGAAACAGGAUGGAAGCACAUACAUAGUAUUUUGACUUUGUCAUUCAAAGGUGGGUUUUCCUGUAUUGAUGUGCUCCAAGAUUUCAGUGCUUUUUCAGCAUCUUAUUGAAAAUUUCAGACACUGUAAGGUACGUGGUCAAUAGAUGGCAGCAAGUCAUUUAACCUGACUAUUAUCUCUUUUGGACAAUGGUCUGAGCAUAAUCAAUCAUUACCUUCUCUUUUUAAGAAAAUCCCCCUUUCUUCUCCACAGUCUUAAAAGAUGAAAAUAUAUAUAUAAACCAAUGACAAUUAUUCAUGUACAUUAUCAAACAAAUACACAGUUACAGAUAUUUCGUGAUUUUUUUUUUUUAAAUAUUAUUACUGGGCAGUUUCACCUUCAAUUUUAUUAAACCCAACAGAUAUAAACCCCUUUCAAUGUAAUCCAGAGUGAUAAGAAUUAGUGAUUUCCCCAGGAAAUGCGUUAUCAAGGCACAGCUGAGGAGCUGGUGCCAGAGGAAACUCCUCCUACAACAUAUGCAGUUACCCCCAUAAUUACCUUAUGUCUCCUCAUGACAGUGAGUGAAACUGGCAGGAGCAGAAAGUUGGUGACAUGAAUUUACCAAAUGAAGAAAAGAGCAAUUGUUCUUUGAAGUACAUGAACUGAUAAUAAAGUUACUCAGAGAAAUAUUCCUGCCA
rnacentral:lncRNA from 1 species